UUAUGGACUCUACACGACACCCUCUUCUCCAUGUCUUCUCAAGUUCCCUUCAAGAGAAAAUAUGAAAUGUAGAAGACUCUGGCUGCAACCUCAUGGACAUCUCAGAUAUGAAGAAUUGGUUGUUGACACAAGAUUGAUAGUUUCCUUCAAAAGAGCUACCCUCUUUGAAGCCUACAAGACUAAGGGCAGACUUCUUGCAAAUCUCAGGAAGGGUCAGAGCUCCCAGAAGGUACUGCUGCGUUUUGGACAUACUGGCUCCGAGAUAACUGGAAGCGCGGAGUUCUCUCUCUCUCUCUCCUCUCUCUCUUCUCUCUCUCNNNNNNNNNNUUUCUCUCUCUGUCACACACACACACACACACACACACACACACACACCCUCUCAGGUCCUCCUGGGGGAGCUGUCAUCUUGCAACCACAGAGCCCUGCAUGCCAUUGCAGGGGUAACCCGGCAGGCGGGGCCCCUGGCGCUGACACACAGGAGCCUGGCGCUGGGCUGGGUUUAGGGCUCCCAGCAGGGAGGCGGGGAGCAGACUCGCCCAUUACUGAGUUGGUGGCCCUUCAGCUCCUAUUCAGGUAAUAUCGUGACAGAUUUCGCUGAAUUCUGGAAGCUCAAACAGAAGUACAAACACCAUAAAAAUUAGGCAGAGAAAACAUCCACCAGCCUGUCUUUACAGUUGGUUUGUGCUGAGGUACAGCUUUGGAACUUAGCUGAGGUUGUUCUGCAUCUAAAGAUCAACCUGAGUCAAAAGCCUAUGUUUGGAUUUCUCUAAACACAAUCCUUGCUCCUGUACAAGUGUGAACCUCAAAACUCUGGACACAUUGCUGGCUGUGAGCAUCCUAACUCCCAGUCUCCCUCCCCUUGCCUUUGAUGACCUAGUGUAGGUCCCCACAGAAAAUAGGCUACUCCAGGUGUCUAUGGAAUUGUCCAGUUUCCUCACUCAUGUUCUGACUUCUGUGAAACAGAAUCAGCAGCAAAUCCUUCAGAUGUCCCCUAGGCAGGUGAAAACGAAAGCUCACAAGUAAAGCAUGUGUGUCCCCCUGUGGUUGUGGAGAGCCACUUGGCCUGGACCAUGCUGGGAAGCGGGUAAGGGAAGGGUUCCACAGAACACCUCACACUUUUCCACCCUUUAGAAGGGGGCUUUUUCACCGUGGCACGUUUGCUCCAUUUCCAUAAAGCACUGAUGGGCAUUUUGCAGAGCUCCUGCAAGAUGAGCACACAAGCAUUUCACUUGUUUUGUAAGUUUCUGUAGGAGAACAAGGGCCCAAAGCAUACUUGGCUGUUUAUUCUAACAUCCCUCCAUGAUACUAACUUUUACCUAGAAUUCCAUUUUUCCCAUUUGUCAAGGAAUGGUUUGAAGAAAAAUUUAAAUGCCAAAUAGUAGAAAGAAACUCACAAAAAACUGAGAGCUCCUUCCCAACCACUCUCUGUGUCUGAACCCAAUAGCCAAACAUAGCUCCAUGCAAAUCUCUAGUUUUCUUUGACAAUGUACAGAUGUUUGUGAUAACGUGUUUGUAACAACUGUCUUCUGCUGCUUUGAGAUUUACCCAUUGUUCAUCAACUUGUUUUUAUGGUGAAAUUUUCUCAGCUUCUACUCCCCUAUACGAUUUGAUCUCACAUCCUUUCAUCUUCUCAACCUGGUGCUGUCACAAUGAUGUUUCAAUCAGAUUUUAUCAGAAGUGGAAGCCUAUGAGGAGGUGGGCCCUCCCCAAGGCACCUACUUCCUGGGCACCUGACUGUGCCUGUGUCCUUUCCUCUGCCCACGAGCACUUGCUUUCUCCUGUGUCCUACAAUCCAAACCCUCUUUCAAAAUCAUCACUCCUAGGACUCCCCAGGAGCAGGUGCCAUAAGCAGGUGAAGAGUGAUGAGAGGGAAAGCAAAGAGUGUGAGGAUUAGGGAAAUGAGGUGACUUGCUUCUUAAUCUUGGAGUUGCUGAGGGUAAAGCCUGCAUCCUGGAAAAGUCUUAGGGUCUGGUGUUUGCUUACACAGCAACUGUCAGACAGCAGUGUCACUCACAUAUGCCAAAUACAGUGGACAGUGCAUGGGGUAUGAAGAAAGACCUGGCUAUAGAUUUAUCCCGGGUAUGGACAUUGUGACAAAUAGCCUGAAAAGAGCUCAUUUUCCUCAAUCAUGAACUGGGACUAAGCAGACAUCACGGGGUGGAUCUGGAGGGAAAAUGACCUCUACGUGCCUGGGACACAUGUGCUCCCUGUCUGUUACCAGGAGAUUGUUAGGAUGAUUUAGUUCUUCAUUUCCUCCCGGUUUCUACACUGAUUUAGACCCAGCCUAGCAGAGUAGAUGGAACAGGAGGAGGUGGCUCUUGGAGUGUGACAGUCAGCACACAUUUGUGUGACCUUCGGGGGUCCCACUUGUGGGCAUGAUCAUCUCUGGAGGGGAGAAGGUGGCCUCCUGGUGGGUGCCUCUCACCCACUCACCAUGGAGCCCCGAGUAUCACACGUCCCUCCGCACCAGGCGCAGUUCUCUUCUGCCCCCUGAUGCUUGACCGGAAGAGCUGUGGGGACCCAGAGACCUUUGCCAGGGACAUAGGGCAGAUGUGACUGGUUCCCACUGGACAGGAGUCACGAGGCCCCAGGCUCCUCCUGCUCCUCACUCUCCAUCUGGGGACAGAGUGGGACACAAUGGAGCAGGAUGCUGGAGUGGGGAUGGGAAGAGCCUGCAGCCAUCCCUGCUGGUCCACAGUGUGGGCACCAGGGCAGCAGUGGCCAGCCUGUUCCCUUUCCCUGGCAGUGUCUGCUAGAAAAGGCCUCUUGGGCCUGCAGGGGCUGGACUAAAGGCUGGUGACAAAACCAAUGUCGCACAGUCUGGGGUGCUGGUCCCCCAUGCUGAGGCCCAGGUUCCCAUGGGAACAUGUCCCCCAGCCUCCAUGCUGCUAGGGAAUGUGGAAAGGAAGAGGAAUCUGGGGUGUGAUGAGGAGAUAUGCAAGGCAGAUACAGUCUACAAAAGGUUCCCGUUCCAAGGGCAGGUCUGACAUCUGGAACCCAGGAGUCCAGCAGGGAAGCCACAGGCCACAUCUGGUCACCUCUGGACCUGGUGAUGGCUCUAAAAGGCUUCCAAUGGCCAUGGUGCCAAGGUCACUACCCACAGGGACCUGGGAAGGUCACAUCAUGGGCAAGUGAUGGCAGAGAACCCACAAGUCAGAGGUGACCAGAGACUUCUUCCAGCAUGUCCCCUUCUUCCAGUUGGUGUCACAGCCAUCACCUAGUGUGACCAGCUGCACUGGUCGGCCACCAAGAGUCCCUUGUGCUGGGAGGCCCCUCAAUCCCAGCAGAUGGCCUGGUUGGCCAGCCUCUUCCCACUGGUGGCCCUGAGGACAGUCACCUCCAGGAUCCCCUACUGUGGUCAGAGGCAUUGGGGUGGGAGCCAGUGUUAAGGAUCCUGAAGAGAAGGGGAAAAGACAGAGGCCAGGUGUUCCUUGAAAGGGCACCUCAUCCCUUAACUCCUGUAUCUUCAUUGCAGAUCCCAACCCAUGUUGACCUGGGCUACCUUGUCCUCAUGUUUGGAAGAUUUGGCGGAGAAAUAUGUAAAGUAUGCUUCUCUGUGAUGCAGGCUGCUUGAACAUCCAUUAGACUUGGUGGGGUCCCUUGGGUGGGGGCACAGAGCCCAGCAUGACCAGGCAGGAAAGGGGACAGGGUGCACUGGUCCUCUGGGUCUCAGCUGUGUGCCUGCCCUGCCUGGGAACCUGGGCACCUGCAGGGACACCGUCUGCCCUCCAGACCCCCAGGUUGGGAAGGAAGUCAGGAGAGCAACUCAGUAGCUGACACCUGGACACAGGGUGCUCAGGGCCAAAGGAAAGGGACAGAGAGUGUGCCAGGAAGGUUAGAGGGGACAGCAAGGAUUCCUAGAGGGAAGUGGUCCUGGGCAGCUUCCCAGAGGAGGUGGGAAGUAAACUUGACCUUGAAGGCUGGAGAAAAGUCAGGGCCACAGUAACCCUCAGGGUGCCCUCUAGUGGGGGGUCUGUUUAGGCUGAGGAAUGUGGGUAACUCAGGGGAGGGCUGGAGACAAACCCUCACAAGUAGCUUGGGGCCAAUGCCCCCAGGAUUGACUGUGCCAGGCCAAGGAGGGGCUUGAAUUCUUCCUCUGAGCCAUAGAGAGCCAUGGAAGGUUCAUGGGCAGGGGAAUGAUGUGCUCCAAGAAAAACCCUGGCAACUGUGGGCCAAUAGAGCCAGGAACAAGAACAGGAGCAGUGGUCAGCUCAGCCAGGGAGGCUGCAGUCACCUUGCCAAGGAUCAGAGGUCCUGGACCAAGGGCAGUGGUCAGCGACAGGAAGGGAAGGCAUUGUGAAUGGUGCCCAUAGGGAGUGGGACUUCCUGAGCUGGAAGGAAGGAGGGUUUGGGAAGAGGAAAAAAGGCUAGAGAUACAAAAGUAACAGCAGCAGAGAGACAGGUGGGAGGGAGGCCUCAUGAAGGAGUGCAGAAGGUCUGUCUUCCUUAGUGUGUUUGUGUGUGUGUGACUGGUGUGCGCAUGAGUGUGAGACUGGAUGUGUGUGUGAUGUGAGUGCCCGUGAGUGUGUGAGCUUGUGGGGAUGAGUGUGUAUGUAUUUGUGGGCACACCUAUGGGUCUAUCGUGUGCUUGCUUGUGUGUUGGGGUGCUGGAGAAGAGGUGUGGUUGUGAGGCCACCCUGACCCUCCCUAGGGCCCACGUCCCCAUAGGCUGCAGCACCUCUCGCUGAGGUUCUCUGAGCCCAGG
rnacentral:lncRNA from 1 species